UUCCGUAGGUGAACCUGCGGAAGGAUCAUUAAUGAAACUUCAAAGUCGGCCUGUUCUGUGCUGGUGUGGUCAAACACACAUGUGCACGUCUGGUCGCAAUCCACACACCUGUGCAUCUAUGACUCGAGGUUGUAAUGACUGAGAGUACUUUUUAUACACUCUGAAUGUAAUGGAAUGUCUAUGUGCUAUAAUGUACAAAUAAACAACUUUCAACAACGGAUCUCUUGGCUCUCGCAUCGAUGAAGAACGCAGCGAAAUGCGAUAAGUAAUGUGAAUUGCAGAAUUCAGUGAAUCAUCGAAUCUUUGAACGCACCUUGCACCCUUUGGUAUUCCGAAGGGUACACCCGUUUGAGUGUCAUUGUAAUCUCACUUUAACAUUUAUUUGUUGAAUGUGGACUUGGAUGUUGCCGUGUUAUUACGGCUCGUCUUAAAUGCCURAGUGUACCUUGCUUUGCAGCGUAUCCGAUGUAAUAAAUAUUUCAUCAGAGUUGGUCGCAAGACCGCGUUUUGUAUUGUCGAGCUCUAUGCUUCAAACCGUCCUUUAUGGACAAACUUUAACUGACAAUUUGACCUCAAAUCGGGUGGGACUACCCGCUGAACUUAAGCAUAUCAAUAAGCGGAGGAAAAGAAACUAACAAGGAUUCCCCUAGUAACGGCGAGUGAAGAGGGAAAAGCUCAAAUUUUGAAUCUGGUGUCUUUGACUCCCGAGUUGUAAUCUAGAGAAGUGUUUUCCGUGUCGGACCGUGUACAAGUUCCCUGGAACGGGGCGUCAUAGAGGGUGAGAAUCCCGUAUAUGCCACGGACUACCGAUGCUCUGUGAUACACUCUCAACGAGUCGAGUUGUUUGGGAAUGCAGCUCAAAAUGGGUGGUAAAUUCCAUCUAAAGCUAAAUAUUGGCGAGAGACCGAUAGCGAACAAGUACCGUGAGGGAAAGAUGAAAAGCACUUUGGAAAGAGAGUGAAACAGUACGUGAAAUUGUUGAAAGGGAAGCGUUUGAAGUCAGUCACAUUUGUUGGGAUUCAACCUGGCUUUUGCCUGGUGUAUUUCCUUUCCGAUGGGUCAGCAUCAGUUUCGACCGAGGGAAAAAGACAUUGGGAAUGUGGCUGUCCUYGGGCAGUGUUAUAGCCUGGUGUUGUAUGUCUCGGUUGGGACUG
rnacentral:rRNA from 1 species